rnacentral:rRNA from 1 species
UCUAGAAGCUUCGGCAAUGGGGGAAACCCUGACCGAGCGACGCCGCGUGCAGGAUGAAGGCCUUCGGGUUGUAAACUGCUUUCGACAGGGAAGAAGGGCGUUUGGGAUAAUACCCCGAUCGUUUGACGGUACCUGGAGAAGAAGCCUCGGCUAAUUCCGUGCCAGCAGCCGCGGUAAUACGGGGGAGGCAAGCGUUAAUCGGAUUUAUUGGGCGUAAAGGGCGCGUAGGCGGUUUCUUAAGUCAGGUGUUAAAGACCACGGCUCACCCGUGGGGCUGCGCCUGAUACUAAGGGACUGGAGUGCAGCAGAGGCAAGCGGAAUUCCCGGUGUAGCGGUGAAAUGCAUAGAUAUCGGGAGGAACACCAGUGGCGAAGGCGGCUUGCUGGGCUGUAACUGACGCUGAGGCGCGAAAGCCAGGGGAGCGAACGG